rnacentral:lncRNA from 1 species
CAAACAUUAUACCUUUCUUCUUUGCUAAGGAAGAGGUUUUUCCCUGAUGUCAACGGAGUCACACUGCAGAAGAGCCACUGCUGAUGGGGUCUGUUCCAGCCCGUGGGGUGAGUGCCUGUCCUGCCUUCUCCCUACAGGCGGUGAGGCAGAGGCAUGGAGCAGAUCACUUUAUAUUCUUUGUUCGAGCAUGAGGACACCAAGACACAGAGAUGGGAGUGGUCUUACCCAAGGUCACUCUGAACAAAUUAUCAUGGCAAGAGUCACUCAUGAGUUCUGUGAGGAACAGCAGAGGAGAAUGUUGUCCAGCAUCCUGUGUUGGACUCCCACCAUGGUACUGUCUUUCAAGUCCAUCCUGUGAUCACCAAAUACUCUUGCCAUCUCUGACCAACCGAAGAAACAGAGGCUGGUCCAAACUGACUUCUGGUGCUGCAGACACUGAAGUCCCUGCAAAAGGAGAAACUUGAGAUGUCACUGGCUGAAGAUACCCCAGGUUACUGUGAAGAUAUUACAAACUGAGGCACAUGCAUAUUGUGGCUGUUUUUCCUGACCUUGGCGUCACAUGCAAGGAAACAAUUGGUGGGAAAGCAAAGGAGAAAAGAACAGUUAUUUCUCUGGGGCCCUGACAGAAGGAAUAAGAAUGUGGGGGCACCUGGGAUGGCCACGGAACAGAAACCCUGAAACAUCUCUUCACCCAUUUGUUCUGCAUUUUCCACUCUGUGGGUCCUGCUCCCCUCUUUCCUCACCCUCCCCCAGCUUGCCUGGUGAUUCAGGAAGAAGAGGCCAAGGAGAGUAAUAUUGUGCUGAAGACAGGACUGGAAGGGCAGUAAUUUAGACUCAGAGGCUUAUAGUAUUAUUGCCUGCAAAGCCAUUCAUGGGAAAUGAUUCCACCCAUCCCCAUUCCGCUCCCCCCCUCCAUACCACUCUCCUUGCUCUGCAAUAACAAUAACAGAAAUGCCUUCAGGAGGCUUUUCUACUCAAAAUGCAGGCAAAGGAGCACUCUUCUCCACCACCCCUCUUCUUUCCCUUCUCUUCUCCCUGCACUCGCUUGUCCCCCCUGCCUCUAAGCCUAACUGCUGCUCCCUCCCUUCUCCCCUCCCCCCCCCCACGGGAUAAAAAAAUAAAAAUAAUAAUAGGGGUAAUAAGAGAGGAGGU